UGCCACAGCCAUAUCACCCUGCAGCCCCAGACUGGUUGCCCACUGAAGCUAAGCAGGGUUGAGCCUGGUCAGUACCUGCAUGGGAGACCUCCUGGGAAAACUAGAUUGCUGUUGGAA
ensembl:rRNA 5S_rRNA 5S ribosomal RNA